AUCGCUUCUCAGCCUUUUGGCUAAGAUCAAGUGUAUUAACGAAAGUCACUCGUAAUAGUCCUGCUAAAUAAAGUCAUUCUUGCUUCUGAUUAAACGUGGAUCACUUUUUAAGCUAACUACAUAGCGAAUCCUAGAUGCCACUUUUACAAUCUUAGGAAUUCUACUUUCUCCCUGAAAUAUUUAGUUCAG
rnacentral:snRNA from 1 species